UACGUAGGGUGCGAGCGUUAAUCGGAAUUACUGGGCGUAAAGCGUGCGCAGGCGGUUUUGUAAGCCAGAUGUGAAAGCCCCGGGCUCAACCUGGGAAUGGCAUUUGGGACUGCAAGGCUGGAGUUUGGCAGAGGAGACUGGAAUUCCUGGUGUAGCAGUGAAAUGCGUAGAGAUCAUGAGGAAGACCAGUGGCGAAGGCGGGUCUCUGGACAGUUCCUGACACUGAGACACGAAGGCCAGGGGAGCAAACGGG
rnacentral:rRNA from 1 species